rnacentral:rRNA from 1 species
UCUGGUGAUUCUAGCGCGGUGGAACCACCUCUUACCAUCCCGAACAGAGAAGUGAAACAUCGCAGCGCCGACAAUACUUUCCGGGCGACUGGGCGGGAAGAUAGGUCAUCGCCAGAU